GACCACGUAGCUCAGUUGGCAGAGCAUUGGGCUAGUAUUCCACCAAAGGUCGUAGGUUCGAUUCCCACCGUGGCCA